GACGAAAACCUUACCCACCUUUGACAUGUACGGAAUCCUUUAGAGAUAGAGGAGUGCUCGAAAGAGAGCCGUAACACAGGUGCUGCAUGGCUGUCGUCAGCUCGUGUCGUGAGAUGUUGGGUUAAGUCCCGCAACGAGCGCAACCCUUGCCAUUAGUUGCUACGAAAGGGCACUCUAAUGGGACUGCCGGUGACAAACCGGAGGAAGGUGGGGAUGACGUCAAGUCCUCAUGGCCCUUAUAGGUGGGGCUACACACGUCAUACAAUGGCUGGUACAGAGGGUUGCCAACCCGCGAGGGGGAGCUAAUCCCAUAAAGCCAGUCGUAGUCCGGAUCGCAGUCUGCAACUCGACUGCGUGAAGUCGGAAUCGCUAGUAAUCGCGGAUCAGAAUGUCGCGGUGAAUACGUUCCCGGGUCUUGUACACACCGCCCGUCACACCAUGGGAGCGGGUUCUGCCAGAAGUAGGUAGCCUAACCGUAAGGAGGGCGCUUACCACGGCAGGGUUCGUGACUGGGGUGAAGUCGUAACAAGGUAAGCGUAGAUGA
rnacentral:rRNA from 1 species